UCCUCCGCUGCUCUCCACCACGCACAACUCCGGCAGCACCCCAACCCGCACACGACCUCUGCCUCCACCUCCGUCUGCACCCCCUGUCUCGCCUCCACCGCGCUCCUCCUGAGGGCCCCGCGGCGCGGCCGGAGGCGCUCAGCCCGGGAUUCCGAAAUCCCCGGCCUCCGCUUCAUCACUUCCAAAUCCCCGCCACCCGGGACUUCCUCACCUCCCUAGCUCCCUCCUCGACCCAACCCCCUCACGCCAUGGCAGCCAGGGUGCCCGGGAUUCCAAAUCCUGUGGCCGCCAUGGCCGCUCAGCCCGGAGCUCCACCUCACCGUCAACGGCCACCUUCCCAACCUCCUCUUCGCCGGUCUGCACCAGCCAUGCCUGAGCUCGGCGUAGCUCUGCUCUCUUCUUAUGGAGGUCUCGCGACAUGAGAGCCACUGCCGUUGGGUGCCGCCGUGCUACCGUCCAGGGUCGCCAUAGACAGGGAAGCUGAAUUCAGAUACAGACUCUGUUUGUGUUAGGACCCCUUUAGGGAUCAACCAGUCCUUGACGCCAAGCCCCUUUGUCUUUGGAGAGCGACUUGGAUGGUGAAGCAGAACAACAGCCCACAAGACCUUGAGCAGCAGCAACGCCCAAUCAAGGACGCUUGCUCCCUGUCUGCCUGCUCUCCUUCCGCUCUGCGCAUGGAAGAAUGGUUUCUCGUAAUCCAUUUCUUUCAUCUACCUACUUAAUGUGCCAUCUAGAUUAUAUGUAUGCAGAUUUGGUGUUGAUGGUUGCUCUAUGCAGCAAUGGACUUGUAAUGAACAAAUUGAUGUUGGAUAUAUGAUCUGUAUGUUGUUGUUGCUAAAUGAAAUUGAAUUGUGGCUGUCAAAACAUUGAUCUUGUUUAUAUUCUAUUGGUUAAUGUGCAA